rnacentral:rRNA from 1 species
ACGUGAUCUGAGUUCAGACCGGAGCAAUCCAGGUCAGUUUCUAUCUAUAAUAGGAGCUCUCUCCAGUACGAAAGGACCGAUAAAGCACGGCCAAUAUUUCAUGCAAGCCAUAGCUAAUAAAACAUGAUUAAAUCUUAAUAAACACUUAUCCCACCAAUAAACUUUAUAAAAAAGU